rnacentral:rRNA from 1 species
AGAGUUUGAUCCUGGCUCAGGAUGAACGCUGGCGGCGUGCCUAAUACAUGCAAGUCGGACGAGAGAGUAAGCUUGCUUACGAUCGAGUGGCGAACGGGUGAGUAACACAUAGACAACCUGCCCUGGGGACUGGGAUAACACCGGGAAACUGGCGCUAAUACCGGAUAGGCAGCUUGGGGGCAUCCCCGAGCUGUUAAAGCUGGGCUACAGCACCGCAGGAUGGGUCUAUGUCGCAUUAGCUAGUUGGCGGGGCAACGGCCCACCAAGGCAGUGAUGCGUAGCCGGUCUGAGAGGAUGAACGGCCACAUUGGGACUGAGACACGGCCCAGACUCCUACGGGAGGCAGCAGUAGGGAAUUUUCGGCAAUGGGGGAAACCCUGACCGAGCAACGCCGCGUGAACGAAGAAGGUCUUUGGAUCGCAGAGUUCUGUUACAAGGGAAGAAACCCGCACACAGGGAAUGGUGUGCGGCCGACGGUACCUUGCCAGAAAGCCACGGCUAACUACGUGCCAGCAGCCGCGGUAAUACGUAGGUGGCGAGCGUUAUCCGGAAUCAUUGGGCGUAAAGGGUGCGUAGGCGGCGGCUUAAGUCCGUGGUGAAAUCGUAAGGCUCAACCUUAUUAAGCCACGGAAACUGGGCGGCUAGAGUGCAGAAGAGGCAGGCGGAAUUCCAUGUGUAGCGGUAAAAUGCGUAGAUAUAUGGAGGAACACCAGUGGCGAAGGCGGCCUGCUGGUCUGCAACUGACGCUGAGGCACGAAAGCGUGGGGAGCAAAUAGGAUUAGAUACCCUAGUAGUCCACGCUGUAAACGAUGAAUACUAAGUGUUGGAGAGAUCCAGUGCUGCAGCUAACGCAAUAAGUAUUCCGCCUGAGUAGUACGUUCGCAAGAAUGAAACUCAAAGGAAUUGACGGGGACCCGCACAAGCGGUGGAUUAUGUGGUUUAAUUCGAUGCAACGCGAAGAACCUUACCAAGCCUUGACAUCCCGGGCGAAACUCUGGAGACAGAGCGGAGGCCAUCCCGGUGACAGGUGGUGCAUGGUUGUCGUCAGCUCGUGUCGUGAGAUGUUGGGUUAAGUCCCGCAACGAGCGCAACCCUUGUCUUCAGUUACCAUCAUUCAGUUGGGGACUCUGGAGAGACUGCCGGUGACAAACCGGAGGAAGGUGGGGAUGACGUCAAAUCAGCAUGCCCCUUAUGGCUUGGGCUACACACGUAAUACAAUGGCGUAUACAAAGGGAUGCGAAAGGGCGACCUGGAGCGGACCCCCCAAAGUACGUCUCAGUUCGGAUUGGAGUCUGCAACCCGACUCCAUGAAGUUGGAAUCGCUAGUAAUCGUGGAUCAGCACGCCACGGUGAAUACGUUCUCGGGUCUUGUACUCACCGCCCGUCA